AGUAAUUUUAAUUACGAUGGAUCGCCUUCUCCACGCGCGUUGCAAGGGCCAGUAGGAGGAGGAUGUGCAAGCGGCCGGAGUAGCGGUGGUGACCACUCGAGGAUGCGAUGGCGCCGUCGUCGACCUCGUAUCCUCCGUUGAGUUCUGCAUCGACCGAACGUGUCCCUCAGCAGCUGAGGGUGGGAAGUGUAAGGGGUCUGGGUUUUUCGAUUUGACUCACAAGAUUCAGUAAAUUAUGUGAUUGAAAACCGGCAUGGCUCCUUCUCCGAGUAAAAAUUGUAAGAAGCAAUAAUAAGCCAAACAGACUUUCAUUUGAUUGAUGAAAAAGCAAGUGGAAUAAUAGCAAAUUCAUAUGCAUAAUUACAUGUUUCCAGUGCCCGGGCCCGAGGGGGUCUAUAUCAUGGUAUUGUUACUGCUUGCAGCAUACCGAUGGUGAUGCGAUACCCCCAGAUGAAAGUCUUCUUGCAAAGGUUAAGAAUCGAAGGGAGGCACCGUGAGUUUGCUGUUUGAUGACAUAAAUUCCUCAAAUUCUUGUAGAUUUGUGUCUGUUGGAAGCCGAAUCCUUGAAUUUGUGGAGCAUAUAAGACCAUUCAUGGGCUGGCAAAUUAGACCUGUGCAUUUUGUCUCCCAAAAAAAAAAAAAAAAAAAGAUUAAUCCAGACCAUAUUUUUGUAAAAUCUGUUUUGCGAAAGAAGAAAAAAAUCACUUAGUCAGAAAUAUAUUUUGCAAAAGGAAAAGGGGAAAUGGAGGAAGCCUACCUACAUUGGAAGAUUGAACCUCUUUAUUCAUGCCCGGACAAGAAUGCUUGCAAAGGAAAGACAAACUACUACUUCUCUCCUAUGUGUGCAUCAUCAAUAGCGCUUCAGCGUUCUGUUACUUUUUUUUAUUUUUUGCUUGUUUUCCUUCUCUCUUUUCUGCGUCCUCGAUGGAUUGCUCGAGAAAGAGAAGACAUGGAUGCAUGACAACUCUGGGAAAUCGCUCUGACUUUUGUGUGUUUUCCCCUCUUAUUCUUCUCUCUUUUCUUGACAGGGAACCACGCUGCCUUGGACCCCGGCACCGACAGCGACGGGAAGGCCGGAGGCAGACGGGGACGGUGUGGUCGCCAUCAUCAACCCGUGGUGUGGGAAGCGAGGCGGAGGAGGAGGAGGAGCUGCCUGCCUGCCUGCCUGCCUUGUGCAUGCCCCCCUAUCUCUUUUCUCUCUCUCUCUCUCUCUCACAGCCCCACCCAGGACAACAAGCAUGGGACGCCGAGCCCGGGCAGCUCCCAAUCAUAAAGCAAUGGAGUGCCAUAUCAUUUCCUCCCCACCUCGGUCCUCGCGCUCCUGCUCUGGACCCCCCCACUCCCCCGAGGGAUGGGCUGACCUGAGCCUACUGUUCCCUCUCGCGCUCCUCAUGCGUCCCUUUCCAUGCUGUUUCUUUUCUUCCCCACCCCCCUUACUCUCUUAAUCUCCUUAAUUUUGGAUUUCUCUUUGGUUUUGCUGCAUUGGCAUAUGAAAUCCUUCACGUCCAUGUUUGUUUGAUGCUGUCCACUUGAAAGCCCUUCAGAUGUAGUGUUCCGGCUUCCACGUCUUCAGCUUGAGAGCCAAUCCAUUUCUUCUUCGCCUUGUAACAUUCUGUACGUGAACCACUAGUGCCACCCACCCCCUACUCCCGACUGACAGAAAAAAUAAUAAUAAUAAUAAUAAAUAAUAUGUUGGGGGAUUUUGUUUCCAGGACAAAUCACAAUCGAGGUUUCAAUUCUUCCAUGCAAUGAAUAGGAGGAGUCUGAAUCACCGCAGAGGUGCAGGAACCAAAGGCUUGCGUUCCCAAAACGCAGCUGCACCGGAGAGGGAUACCUCGUGGUCAACGAGCCUUCUCUGACCUCUGUUACACCAUUUUGACGAGGACAUCACCUACACUAUGGAUAGGCCACCAUGCCCCGUGUUGACCAAGGAGCCUCCCAACGUUGACUCGGGCCCACCACACAGAAUAAGAGAGAGAGAGAGAGAGCACAGUGGUCUAUGGAGGGGAGUCAUGGGGAAGAGCUACAGCACGGCAAAGGACUGGUGAAUGCAAGGGAUCGAAGAGGGGUCACCUCAAUGGGCCCCCCCCCCCCCCCCCCCCCCUCGGGCCGACAGGCUCUGCUGCAUCCCUCCAUAGCGUCAACACCAAGGACGGGCGGACGGACUGGACUGGACUGGACUGGACUGACCACACGCUGCUGUCGCUCUCACCCUCUCUUCCUCGUCUUUGCCGCCAGCGAAGAAAGAGGGGGAGAAGCAUGAGAAGCCGAGAGUAAAAAAAAAAGGCAGGAGGUUUGGAACCUUACGAUCGAACGCAGAUAUCAUCAUGUGACAAUCAUUCUUUUAUAAUUUGAGCUCUACAGGUCUGGGAGGGAAGUAAAAGAAAAGGUUUUGCUUUUCUUUUGAGGCCACCAGCAGGAGUGUCAGUAAAAGAAAAGAAGAGAGAGAGAGAGAGAGAGAGAGAGAGAGAAAUAAUCUCAAGUCUUAAAAGCUAUACAAAUGCUGAUGUACGAUGACCUCUGAAAAGAGGUCUUUUAUCAUCCACCUGCUCUCCUCCUAAAGGAACAAAAGGUCAAAAAGGAAGCUUUAUUUGCUUCUCAUUCAAGUAACUUUGGUAUGCAAAAGCUUUUAUCUUUUACUUUCUGAAUUAACCAGGUGGCUCAGGCUACUACUGUAAGAUGUCAUGUAUCCACCAUAUAUGUGUAGAGGUGAGACCACUGGGACGCAAUUUGAUUACAGAAAGAGCUGCAUAUAUCAUUAGUUUAUUGCUUCUAACAUCAUCACCCGAGUCGAUGAUGGGUGGAUCAUGUACAAGUACAGAGUUGCCUGUUGGACCAUGUAAGCUGGCCUCAACAAAACAAAUCGUGCAUGCAUGCAUGCAUGCAGUGGUCGUACAGUAACAGUCUAAAAGAAGACAAAGAAUCCAUAAAACAUCCUUCUGUUUUUAUGUUUGUAGUUUAGCAACUUGGAAGCCAUGACAUGGGAAUUAGCAUCUU